CCACAMACAGCAAUGUUAAAUAACAUCAAGAACACAUGAUAUCAAGAUGACUUUUCUCUUCUUCUGAAACGAAACCAUAACAUUUUGAAGAAGAUGUUUCAGAUGUCCCAGAAAAAAGCUUUUGCAUCAAAUCAAGGUUGAAAUGCACAUAUCAAGAGUCCAUUGAAGCAAAAAACAUUGUAGCUUUACUCACCUGUGAAGUUUAAUCUUGUGCUACGGAUAAAACGUACAUAGAAUUAAAAUACAAUAAUCAUUUG